AUGGAGGAGAAGGGCAGUAGCGCGAUUUGGUGGUGGAUUUGGAGACAGAAGAUGGUAGAAGGUGGCGUCGGACAAGAGGGUAAACCGGUGGAGGUUAUUAUGUUGAGGCGGACAGUUUGGGAGGUCGGCUGUUAUUAUAGAAACAACAAUAUUAUGCUCUCAGUUCUAUUUCUCAUGGUUUCCUCUUAUUAUCCUCUUUUCUAUGCAGUAGCCACAACCAUUAUACUACAAUAG